CUCUUGUUUUGAAUAUAAAGAACUUGAUUAUUUAUAGAAGUUUCUGGCUCCCACUAAAGUUGAACAAAAUGCCUGGAGGAGAAGCUGCAUUAUUAAGCAUUUAGGGAGACCUAGGGUCCCUUUGGGCCCUGCAGAACAAGAUCUGGACUUGGUGGUUUGAACUGCUUGGCUACUGGGCUGCUUCCCCAGCCUCAGCAGCCAGGGACAGACAGCGGGGGAGGAUCGGAGGUAAAAGCCAAGGGUUCAGCCAGAGUGCCCUCUAGCAGUCAAGCCAGAAGUGACCAGUUGUCCCUGUCUCUCUGGACUGAGGAGUCUCAUAGAGCUAAGACCAGGAAAGUCCCAGGACCAGCUAUCACUGCAUCUCAGGUGAAUUUGUAUCCAGUAGGCUGAGCUACGGCCUUGUUUAUUCUCUCACGCGUCAGCUCCACAGGCCACAGUUGAUUGGAUGAGCCUGAUCACCUGACACAAGCUGGGCCAAUCACAUCCUCUCUCCUGGGAAUUUGGAAAAGAAGCGUCAGAGACACCAAAUACACCAAAUUAGAAGCUCUUCACUCUCGGUCUGUAUUGAAAUUGCCUGGGGAAAUUCUAAAACAUACACAAAUUCUCACAGGAAGUCCGGGCAUUCCCCUAGAUUCUGACUUUAGUUAGUCCAGCGUGGAAUGGUCUAAAUUAGAGCUUGGUUUUCAGGGCUUCCCAAUGCAGCAGGGAGCAGCACAGUGGAAGCAGGCACGCAGAGGACAAUGACAUGGACUUUGUCAGUGAGAAGCUGGAAUGAGAAACCCGGGCCUUAGCAAGUGUAGACAGUGCCUUCACUCCCAAGAGCUUUCUAAGUUUGGGUUCGAGGGCAGCCCCACCCUUCGUGAUAAUUUCUGCUCUUGAAUCCUUUUUCAAAAUACUUCCUCUGAAGCUACUUCUGGUAGUUUCUAUGCAUACAACAGAACGAAACUUCACCAAGCCAUUCUCACAGCUUGUUCAUCACAAUCCUGCUGAUUUUAUCCUAGAAAUCCUUCUUAAAUAUCAUCCCUGUGACCUUUGCAGAAAGAGUUCUCAGUUUUGUCCUUCCUCAGAGGACUCUUCUCAGGUGUCUUCUUUCAGUCCCCACACUAAGAAUACUUCAUUGGCCUCUCAUUGCUAUUAAAAUACAAAACAGUUCUGUAUAAACUGACCUGUAAAAAUAUGUCACUGAUUGGAAAAACAAACAAACCCGCCGAG
ensembl:lncRNA